rnacentral:misc_RNA from 1 species
GAUGAAGAACGUAGCAAAAUGCGAUAAGUAAUGUGAAUUGCAGAAUUCAGUGAAUCAUCGAAUCUUUGAACGCACAUUGCGCCCGCCAGUAUUCUGGCGGGCAUGCCUGUUCGAGCGUCAUUUCAACCAUCAAGCCCCAGGCUUGUGUUGGGGACCUGCGGCUGCCGCAGGCCCUGAAAACCAGUGGCGGGCUCGCUAGUCACACCGAGCGUAGUAGCAUACACAUCGCUCAGGGCGUGCUGCGGGUUCCGGCCGUUAAACCCCUUUUUUACCCAAGGUUGACCUCGGAUCAGGUAGGAAGACCCGCUGAGCUUAAGCAUAUCAAUAAGCGGAGGA